rnacentral:misc_RNA from 1 species
GAUGAAGAACGUAGCGAAAUGCGAUAAGUAAUGUGAAUUGCAGAAUUCAGUGAAUCAUCGAAUCUUUGAACGCACAUUGCGCCCCUUGGUAUUCCGAGGGGCAUGCCUGUUCGAGCGUCAUUAUAACCCCUCAAGCUCAGCUUGGUGUUGGGGCCUGCUGCACUGGCAGCCCUUAAAAUCAGUGGCGGCGCCGUCUGGCUCUAAGCGUAGUAAUUCUUCUCGCUAUGGAGUCCUGGUGGAUGCUUGCCAUCAACCCCCAAUUUUUCUAUGGUUGACCUCGGAUCAGGUAGGGAUACCCGCUGAACUGAAGCAUAUCAAUAAGCGGAGGA